GCCGGGGUGGCCGAGCGGACUAAGGCGGCACUAUCCCAACCCGUUAUUUCACGGGUUCGAAUCCCGUCCCCGGCU
rnacentral:tRNA from 1 species